CAACCACAUGGCUGGCUGGUACCUUCUUACUCUGGGGGGUCUCCUCAUGAUCAGUUGCAUAACAGCCACGGUGGUCCUUGCACUCUGGGGAGUUACCCUCCUACUCCCAGGGGAUGAGCAAUCUCUUUAAGGUCUUUCCUCCUGGGCUGGGAGCCACACAAGUGUGCCAUGGAAUGUGGAGCUCCUCCCUGGGCAGAGUACCUGAGAGCUAAGGGGAGGAUGACACCUCCCCCUGCAGUGACUCUUUAAGAGAAAAGGGUAAAAGGAGAAAAUCCAGAAUCUUGCUCUGUUGCCCAGGCAGGAAUGCAGUGGUGCAAUCACGGCUCACUGCAGCCUCUACCUCCUAGGCUCAAGCAAUCCUCAGCCUCCUGAGAGUAGCUGGGACUACAGGACAAUAUGAACGGAACACAAUGUUGAAGAAAAUACAUUUACUUUGUACCCAAUUCUAUGCAUAUUUUCUUCUGCUUUCCAGUCCACACGUUGUUCAUCAUAUUGGAAAUCCUCUCUAUACCUGCUUUGAAGCAGGAUCAAUGCACUAUACUGAUAUAAUUUCAGCAAAUAACUACUGACAUGAAUUCAUAAAUGGCAUCAUUUUGCAUUCUGCCCUGUAGGCUUAUAAUAAAAGUACUUCGUCUACAAAGCAAUAAUGCAACUUUAUUUAUGAAAUCAUUUUCCAAUUAAGAAAAUUUUCAAUGGUUUAUAAAAGUGGACAUUUGCACAAUCUUUUUCAUAA